rnacentral:rRNA from 1 species
GCUUGUCUCAAAGAUUAAGCCAUGCAUGUCUAAGUAUAAGCAAACUUGUACUGUGAAACUGCGAAUGGCUCAUUAUAUCAGUUAUAGUCUACUCGAUAGUACCUUACUACUUGGAUAACCGUAGUAAUUCUAGAGCUAAUACAUGCAAAGAACCCGACUUACGGAGGGUUGUAUUUAUUAGAUAAAAACCAAUGCCUCGUGCUUUUGGUGAGUCAUGAUAACUGCGCGGAUCGCAUGGCCUUGCGCCGGCGACGCUUCAUUCAAAUUUCUGCCCUAUCAACUUUCGAUGGUAAGAUAGAGGCUUACCAUGGUGUUAACGGGUAACGGGGAAUUGGGGUUCGAUUCCGGAGAGGGAGCCUGAGAAAUGGCUACCACUUCCAAGGAAGGCAGCAGG